AUUGAACGCUAGCGGGAUGCUUUACACAUGCAAGUCGAACGGCAGCGCGGACUUCGGUCUGGCGGCGAGUGGCGAACGGGUGAGUAAUGUAUCGGAACGUGCCCAGUAGCGGGGGAUAACUACGCGAAAGCGUAGCUAAUACCGCAUACGCCCUACGGGGGAAAGCAGGGGAUCGUAAGACCUUGCACUAUUGGAGCGGCCGAUAUCGGAUUAGCUAGUUGGUGAGGUAACGGCUCACCAAGGCGACGAUCCGUAGCUGGUUUGAGAGGACGACCAGCCACACUGGGACUGAGACACGGCCCAGACUCCUACGGGAGGCAGCAGUGGGGAAUUUUGGACAAUGGGGGCAACCCUGAUCCAGCCAUCCCGCGUGUGCGAUGAAGGCCUUCGGGUUGUAAAGCACUUUUGGCAGGAAAGGAACGUCGCGGGCUAAUACCCCGUGGAACUGACGGUACCUGCAGAAUAAGCACCGGCUAACUACGUG
rnacentral:rRNA from 1 species